GUGAACGCUGGCGGUAGGCCUAACACAUGCAAGUCGAACGGCAGCACAGUAAGAGCUUGCUCUUACGGGUGGCGAGUGGCGGACGGGUGAGGAAUACAUCGGAAUCUACUUUUUCGUGGGGGAUAACGUAGGGAAACUUACGCUAAUACCGCAUACGACCUACGGGUGAAAGCAGGGGAUCUUCGGACCUUGCGCGAUUGAAUGAGCCGAUGUCGGAUUGGCUAGUUGGCGGGGUAAAGGCCCACCAAGGCGACGAUCCGUAGCUGGUCUGAGAGGAUGAUCAGCCACACUGGAACUGAGACACGGUCCAGACUCCUACGGGAGGCAGCAGUGGGGAAUAUUGGACAAUGGGCGCAAGCCUGAUCCAGCCAUACCGCGUGGGUGAAGAAGGCCUUCGGGUUGUAAAGCCCUUUUGUUGGGAAAGAAAAGCAGCAGGUUAAUACCCCGCUGUUCUGACGGUACCCAAAGAAUAAGCACCGGCUAACUUCGUG
rnacentral:rRNA from 1 species